UGUGAAGGGUNCACUCUGCUCUUUAAGUA
rnacentral:piRNA from 1 species